UGCAAGUCGAACGCUUCUUUUCCCACCGGAGCUUGCUCCACCGGGAAAAGAGGAGUGGGCCGGGUGAGUAACACGUGGGUAACCUGCCCAUCAGAAGGGGAUAACACUUGGAAACAGGUGCUAAUACCGUAUAACAAUCGAAACCGCAUGGUUUCGUUUUGAAAGGCGCUUUACGGUGCCGCUGAUGGAUGGACCCGCGGUGCAUUAGCUAGUUGGUGAGGUAACGGCUCACCAAGGCCACGAUGCAUAGCCGACCUGAGAGGGUGAUCGGCCACAUUGGGACUGAGACACGGCCCAAACUCCUACGGGAGGCAGCAGUAGGGAAUCUUCGGCAAUGGACGAAAGUCUGACCGAGCAACGCCGCGUGAGUGAAGAAGGUUUUCGGAUCGUAAAACUCUGUUGUUAGAGAAGAACAAGGGUGAGAGUAACUGUUCACCCCUUGACGGUAUCUAACCAGAAAGCCACGGCUAACUACGUGCCAGCAGCCGCGGUAAUACGUAGGUGGCAAGCGUUGUCCGGAUUUAUUGGGCGUAAAGCGAGCGCAGGCGGUUUCUUAAGUCUGAUGUGAAAGCCCCCGGCUCAACCGGGGAGGGUCAUUGGAAACUGGGAGACUUGAGUGCAGAAGAGGAGAGUGGAAUUCCAUGUGUAGCGGUGAAAUGCGUAGAUAUAUGGAGGAACACCAGUGGCGAAGGCGGCUCUCUGGUCUGUAACUGACGCUGAGGCUCGAAAGCGUGGGGAGCAAACAGGAUUAGAUACCCUGGUAGUCCACGCCGUAAACGAUGAGUGCUAAGUGUUGGAGGGUUUCCGCCCUUCAGUGCUGCAGCUAACGCAUUAAGCACUCCGCCUGGGGAGUACGACCGCAAGGUUGAAACUCAAAGGAAUUGACGGGGGCCCGCACAAGCGGUGGAGCAUGUGGUUUAAUUCGAAGCAACGCGAAGAACCUUACCAGGUCUUGACAUCCUUUGACCACUCUAGAGAUAGAGCUUCCCCUUCGGGGGCAAAGUGACAGGUGGUGCAUGGUUGUCGUCAGCUCGUGUCGUGAGAUGUUGGGUUAAGUCCCGCAACGAGCGCAACCCUUAUUGUUAGUUGCCAUCAUUUAGUUGGGCACUCUAGCAAGACUGCCGGUGACAAACCGGAGGAAGGUGGGGAUGACGUCAAAUCAUCAUGCCCCUUAUGACCUGGGCUACACACGUGCUACAAUGGGAAGUACAACGAGUCGCGAAGUCGCGAGGCUAAGCUAAUCUCUUAAAGCUUCUCUCAGUUCGGAUUGUAGGCUGCAACUCGCCUACAUGAAGCCGGAAUCGCUAGUAAUCGCGGAUCAGCACGCCGCGGUGAAUACGUUCCCGGGCCUUGUACACACCGCCCGUCACACCACGAGAGUUUGUAACACCCGAAGUCGGUGAGGUAACCUUUUUGGAGCCAGCCGCC
rnacentral:rRNA from 1 species